rnacentral:lncRNA from 1 species
UGAAUUAUCAUAAAAAAAACCUUCCAACUAAACACAGAUAAUGUUCUUACUGUUAUUCACUCUAAUUUUUAAGCUAAAGGCAUAAAACUUGAAUUUCCGAGCGUAAGUUUGGUAAGUUACCGUUUGUAAGACGAAGACAACACAGCGGGUGUAGCGUCCUCUUAAUACACAGCUUUUUGUAUAAAUGCUUCUCUCUGAAUAGUAUUAAUAAAUGAUCAGGCUAAUGUGACGCAUUUCAGGUACUAGAAUUUGGCGUUGUGUCAAUGGACAUUGCAGUCGCAGUUAUAAGAACAAAUUCCAUUUGACCUACCACUUGAAGUAUGAAUGUGGAAAACAACCCUUAUACAAAUGUGACUUUUGUCUAAGGAUGUUUUCGAGAAAUUCAAACCUGAAGAAACACAUGUUUACAGUACAUAAAUACAUCAGCCACUGACUUAGUUCUUUUGAAAUCAUGUUUGAUUAUUUACCAGAGAUUAAUAUAAAAAAAAUUGUUGAAGGCAAUAACCAAAGUACCACUUUAUACACAGCAUAGGCGUAAAUUUGAGGCCCCAAGCCCCCAAAAUAUUUCCUAACUUAACCUCGCAAGUACAAUAAAUAUGUUAAUACGUAUUAAUUUAUAUUUUUAACCAUUUUUAAACCUAUGACCACAAUUUGUAUUGUGUAAUAUUACUGAUAUAAUAUAUUAACUUCUUUCUGACUAGUUACUAAAUGAAACCGUCGUGAAGACACUAUAAUGGUAUGAACAAAGCUCCUAAAUAUUAACUACACUAAGCAAAUUUAAACAACUUAUAUAUACCUAAUACCUACCUAUAUUGUAUUAAUGACUUAUUACUGAUGUUAAAUUUAGUAAACUGUUUGCAUACCAAUUUGUAAAUACAUUUUUUUUUAUAAGUUUUUAAGCAUUUGCUAAGUAUUCGACAACAACAACAACAACAAUAACAACAACAAUAAUUAUUAUUAUUUUGGGUACCUUUAGGCUUUAACUAUUGUUAAUAACUAAUUAAUUACAAAAUAUUCAUUAAAACAUUUAAAUCAUUUGUUGAAAGUGUAAUUUAUGCGUUGGCUAUUAAUAUACACACACCCAUAUGCAUUGAUUAAAGUAUUGAAACUUGGGUAUGGUUAUUUUUUUUAUUUUCAAGAAUUACCUAAUUUUGUUACCAGUUAUCACUUUAGUCACUUCUAAAUCAAUGAUAAUAGGACGUAAUAACUAUAAUAAUCUUACAAGUUAAUUUAGAUGUAACUAAAUAAUAUUGUAUUUUACGAUACAGUUCCUAUUUUGUUUUAUACAUUUUUUGCCUUACAAACCAGACGUACAGUUUACAAUGCUAUAAGUUAAUACUUAAUAUAUUAAAAUUGGUUAUAUACAGAUACCUGAUACACAUAUUGAUAUAUAUAUAUUAACAUUGAACCAACUUAUUUACUCAUACAUCAUUGAUUAGUUGAUUAAUUUGAGUUUUGUGGUUGUAGUAAGUAUUUUUAAUUUCAUCUACCAAUCCAACUAUAGUAAAUAGUUUCGUUUUUAAAUUACAACAUAUCUUUUUGUAUUAAAUAUUUUAUAGUUUAACUUAGAUUGUUAUGUUACUAUAUAUACUAUAUCUAUACUUGUCGUGGAUUUGUUAAGGUUUUUUUUCAAAUUAAUUGCUUUUGCCAUUUUAUUAAUUUAUUAUUAUUUUUGUAAAACGCAUUAAAAUAAUUUGCUUUAAUAUUUUGCGUUCUAACAUAUACUCACUUGUACAAUAGUUUAUUGAAUUUUGCCUCCCCCCUUAUUUUUAACUUUUAAUUGUGGUUGUCGUAUACAAUAAUAUAUUGUUUAGGCGCAUAUCCAUACGAUACGGCUGUCCAAAUUUGCACAAAAAUAACUGUUAUCAAAGUUAUAAAAACUAAUGUUCAUUUGGCUUUCAUCUAAAAUAAAAAUGCGACCAACAACCUCGGUACAAGUGCAAGAUUUGUCAUAAGCUGGUUCAUCGGAAAUCCAAUUUCAACUUAACACCUCAGAUAUGUACUUCACUCAUCUUUUUCACCCUUUUUCAAUUGUUAUCCAACUUCGGAAGAAAGGUCAAAUAUUUAACAAUAUCGUUAUAUGUAUUUGCUUAUGCUUAUACUAUUAAAAAAAAAAAAAUUCCAUGCGUUUAUUAUUUUAUUUAUUAUGUUGUAUAUUUGUACACUAUAAUUUAUACAUAUAUAAUGCAAAUAAAUAGAUCGAACGAUCAGAACGAUAACAAUGAUUGAAAGGUGAUUUUAUUGCAUUGCUUUUUAUAUUUUUGUUUAGUUAUUGCUUAUGUUAUCAUCAUAAUACACAGGUAUAGUAAAAGCACUUAUUUUGGUGCUGCUUUCAAUCACAACUUUGAUGAAAAAUAAAAUAGAGAAUAUCAAAUGCAAUUCUGUUAAAGUGCAUAUGAUAUUGCUUUUUUAAGUUUUCCUUAAAAAUUGUUUUUUACUGUAUCUUACUUUUUCUUAUUUCAGGUGAUCGAGAUACGUCAUUUUGCAAAUCAGCUGUAUACCGCAAUAGCACUGUUUUAAACGGAUUAUGUCCCUUUUGCCCAACAAAGCUGAAAGAAAUCAAUUGUUUAGAUGAGCAUGUUCUAGAUUUCCAUAAACCCUUAUUGUUAGCAUAUGAUAGAUCAAAUAAAACCGACAGAAAUUGUCCGACAAAUCAAUGAAUCGAUUGUGGAUGUAUCUUAAAAUAAAUGUUUUAGGGCCGUUGUUACAAUGUCCGGUUAAAGUUAACCGACACUUUACCGUACAUUGUAAAAACGGUCCUUAUUCUGUCUCGAAA